rnacentral:rRNA from 1 species
AUUGAACGCUGGCGGCAGGCCUAACACAUGCAAGUCGAACGGUAACAUUUCUAGCUUGCUAGAAGAUGACGAGUGGCGGACGGGUGAGUAAUACUUAGGGAUCUGCCUUUGAGUGGGGGAUAACUAUUGGAAACGAUAGCUAAUACCGCAUAACGUCUACGGACCAAAGGGGGGCUUCGGCUCUCGCUCGAAGAGGAACCUAAGCGAGAUUAGCUUGUUGGUGAGGUAAAGGCUCACCAAGGCGACGAUCUCUAGCUGUUCUGAGAGGAAGAUCAGCCACACUGGGACUGAGACACGGCCCAG